rnacentral:rRNA from 1 species
UACGAAGGGGGCUAGCGUUGCUCGGAAUCACUGGGCGUAAAGCGCACAUAGGCGGCUUUCUAAGUCAGGGGUGAAAUCCUGGAGCUCAACUCCAGAACUGCCUUUGAUACUGGAGAGCUUGAGUCCGGAAGAGGUGAGUGGAACUCCGAGUGUAGAGGUGAAAUUCGUAGAUAUUCGGAAGAACACCAGUGGCGAAGGCGGCUCACUGGUCCGGUACUGACGCUGAGGUGCGAAAGCGUGGGGAGCAAACAGG